GACACCUGCCCAGCUGAGAGAGCACUGCAAAGGAGCUGGACCCGAACAGAGGUAGUCUGCGGGUGACCCCUCCACGCAGGGCGCAGACACGCCCAGAACGCGGGGUCCUGGGACCCGCCGGCGGGAAGGUGGAGGCGGACCGCAGAGGACGCAAGGAAGAGACAGGGCCCAGACGACAGCGGGUCCUACCAGCCCGACCAGACUACAUGGACAGGACAGCAGGGCAUAAAGGUGCUGAGGAGGUGACCAUUCCUGGGCUGCAGAGAUGUCAAGAACGGUUACCAGGGCAAGACAACACAGUCCACACAGCUGCAGAUAUUCACAGAGCACCAACUAUGUGCCAGGGAUAAAUAAUGCUAGCUGAUGGCAACACGGCACUGUGGAGAAUAGAGUCCCAGCCCUCUCAGAACUUACAUCACAGGCAAGAAAUAAAUGAGGUAAAACUCUCAGACUGUCACAGUGAUGCCAGAAAGAGAUGAAGUUGGAAAGAAA